UUUUGUGUCUUUAAGUUGUAUGAAAAUUGCUAAUAAAAAGUAGAUAUUUAAAAAAAACAGUAGACGUAUUAUUACAUAAAAUAUAAAAUAUCUAACUAAAGAUUAAAUAUUAGGGAUGAUUAAAUGUCGGAUUAGAUUAUUUUCCGGGCCCGAUUUGCUUGUGCAGGUCCAUUAAGGUGGAAUAACUUGGUCAUAGAUUUUUAAUCUCACUCUACCCUUAUUCAAUAAUGGGAUCAAUUUAAUUAGUGUGGCAAGUUUUAAUAUUUGUACGUGUACAUAUGAAGUUAAUUUUUUAAUUUUUAGAAUUAACUCAUGAAACUCAUGAAAUUCAGGUACAUUUAAACACAUUAAGUAGGGGCAGAGCGAAGUUACUGAUAUUGGACUUCAGUUAAGUGUUACCAAUUGUUUACUUUAACAAUGUAUCGUUUACGAGUGAACAACAUGUGUUUGGGAUGGUAUGGGAUUCAAAGGGUCUAUGUCGCCUUGACCUUUGUAUUAAACUCUCUAGUAAAGUAACUGUUUGCGGGCCGGGAAAAUCGGACCGUAAAGAUGCUGUGCACUUGUAUGUCGUUGAGUUAAAUUGAUUGUCUUUUUCCGCAAAUUGUUUUCACAUUUUGAGUGCAAUAUUUUUUAACUCAGCCCCUAAGAUUACAAAUCGCAAUAACCUAGCAUUUAAAUAAGUGCUAUAUCAAAAGUUCCUCAUCCUGAAUCGGUAUGAAAUUAUGGACCAAAGUUACAGACAUUAUUUAUGGAUUCCCCCAUAGCUAAAUGGAGUAUUUCGAGAUAGAUGUUUGUGAAUUGCGAGCAUUAGUUCAUGCAGCACAGCAGCUUUUUACAUGAGGCGUGUAUUAAGCAGGCUGCUUCGCUCUCGUAUGAAACGAGUAGAGUCGUACUAGCAGCAGCGUUGUUGUGCAGGGUAUGUAGAGUGCGUUGAAUGUUGAGUAAUGUAAUUGGACAAUGGUUCAUUUAUCCUUAAAAAUGGUGACCUGAAACCUUCUACCCCAAAGGAAGGUUGGGGGACAUUUUCGCAGGGUCCAAAAUGAACAUGCACAUGUCAAAGUGCAGCUGAUGAGGGCGGGAAAAGACCGGUGUAAUUGGUGGGGAAAGAAUGGACUAGAUGAGCUUUGAACGCAGCAGCACUUUUUUUCCAGGUUGUGGAUCGUCACAGUCAAAAGUUCUUUCAAAAUCACCAGAAAGACAUGAACAGCUUCAACAAAAUGUGACUGAUCCAACAAAUAUAAAAUGCAAGGGUAGCUGUUGGAAUUCAGUUUCAUUUUCCCAAAAAAUUUAAGUUUAGCACUUGAAGUUUUUGGACCACAUUACUUGUCAACUACUAAUACUAGUCUACUAAGUAUAUAGCACGUCAUAAUAAAAGGGAGAAACUACACGUAGGUCUAUUCAUAAUAGGUAGGUUGCGAGUUAGCGGGAGUUCACGUAAACGCUAACGUAAACGUAAAAUUUGGCGUUAACGUUUACGUUUACGGGGUGUACGAAUUUUUGCGUGUGCGAAUUAACGUGAACGUAAACGUGUGCGCUGAAUUUGAAUUUCAUUUCAAUGGUUUGUUUACAUUCUUCAUGCAAUAUUUUGCUUAUUGUAAUUAUUUAAUUUAUCUUAUUAUAAACUAGCUUGAAAUGCCAGUGUUUUCAAAACAAAUAGUAAAUUUACUCUCUGAAUUGACCGACUUCGAAAUAGAGGACAUUCUUCCUUCAAAUAAUUAAAACAAAAUAAGUUUGAAACCUAAAUGCGCCCUUAAACUUCGGGGCGCGAUUGCUUGUCGGCGGAGACCCUUUGUGCAUUACUCUAAGGAUUGCAUAUUCCAACAGAUACGUCGACUUGAUGUAACUUUUUCCUCCUACUCAUUGCAGUCACGGAUUUUUCAUCACGGCAGCCAAACUUCGGAUAACUUUUGUGAAGCAAUGCCAGAUCUUGAGCAUUAUUUAUAUUUUCCAUGAAAUUGUGUGUAUAAGAAAAUCUAGAUGCCAUGUACUAAGGCUUAAUUUCUGUAUUGUAUAAACAAUAAAUUUACUUGUUUCUAAUUAAUUCAAAUAAUGCUUUUGUUAUUUCAGCUCUUCAUUUUGUGUAAUAUCAUUCACUUUCCAUACUUCCUUUCCUC